rnacentral:rRNA from 1 species
GAACUGUGAGACAGGUGCUGCAUGGCUGUCGUCAGCUCGUGUUGUGAAAUGUUGGGUUAAGUCCCGCAACGAGCGCAACCCUUAUCCUUUGUUGCCAGCGGUCCGGCCGGGAACUCAAAGGAGACUGCCAGUGAUAAACUGGAGGAAGGUGGGGAUGACGUCAAGUCAUCAUGGCCCUUACGACCAGGGCUACACACGUGCUACAAUGGCGCAUACAAAGAGAAGCGACCUCGCGAGAGCAAGCGGACCUCAUAAAGUGCGUCGUAGUCCGGAUUGGAGUCUGCAACUCGACUCCAUGAAGUCGGAAUCGCUAGUAAUCGUGGAUCAGAAUGCCACGGUGAAUACGUUCCCGGGCCUCGUACACACCGCCCGUCACACCAUGGGAGUGGGUUGCAAAAGAAGUAGGUAGCUUAACCUUCGGGAGGGCGCUUACCACUUUGUGAUUCAUGACUGGGGUGAAGUCGUAACAAGGUAACCGUAGGGGAACCUGCGGCUGGAUCACCUC